rnacentral:lncRNA from 1 species
GCCUAGGGGGAAAUGAGCUUUAGUCCUCUCAUGAGAAGACAGACCUGACAUCUACUGAAAAAUAGACUUUACUGGAAAAAAUAUGUGUAUGAAUACCUUCUGGUUUUUGUGAACGUUCUCAAGAUGGAUAAAAGCUUUUCCUUGUAAAACUGAGACUGCUCAGAUAGUCAUCAAGAAGAUUAUUAAAAAUUUUCCAAGGUUCGGAGUGCCAAAAGCAAUAGUGUCAGAUAAUGGUCCUGUCUUUGUUGCCCAGGUAAGUCAGGGUGUGGCC